rnacentral:sRNA from 1 species
ACACGAGAGGGGAGGUGGUCCGAACAAUUGAAUUCUUAUCGGACUCGUGAGGUGGCUGUCCGCUAGCCGCCGUCCAGAUGGGCCGCCCGUUCGGAGUGGAAUCCGAGCGGAGGCACUGAUCGCCCGUCCGUCGCACGGCGGCGAGCGAGAACCGGACAGUCACCCGACCCCCGGGCCGCCGACACUUGUCCAGUCGGCCCGCGAGCUGCCUCCUCUCGAGGCGCCGCGGAGCAGCCCGGGGGUUGUCCGUU